CAUGCAAGUCGAGGGGAAACGACAUCGAAAGCUUGCUUUUGAUGGGCGUCGACCGGCGCACGGGUGAGUAACGCAUAUCCAACCUGCCCAUCACUUGGGGAUAACCUUGCGAAAGUAAGACUAAUACCCAAUGACGUCUCUAGAAGACAUCUGAAAGAGAUUAAAGAUUUAUCGGUGAUGGAUGGGGAUGCGUCUGAUUAGCUUGUUGGCGGGGUAACGGCCCACCAAGGCGACGAUCAGUAGGGGUUCUGAGAGGAAGGUCCCCCACAUUGGAACUGAGACACGGUCCAAACUCCUACGGGAGGCAGCAGUGAGGAAUAUUGGUCAAUGGACGAGAGUCUGAACCAGCCAAGUAGCGUGCAGGAUGACGGCCCUAUGGGUUGUAAACUGCUUUUAUAAGGGAAUAAAGUUAGUCUCGUGAGACUUUUUGCAUGUACCUUAUGAAUAAGGACCGGCUAAUUCCGUGCCAGCAGCCGCGGUAAUACGGAAGGUCCGGGCGUUAUCCGGAUUUAUUGGGUUUAAAGGGAGCGUAGGCCGGAGAUUAAGCGUGUUGUGAAAUGUAGACGCUCAACGUCUGCACUGCAGCGCGAACUGGUUUCCUUGAGUACGCACAAAGUGGGCGGAAUUCGUGGUGUAGCGGUGAAAUGCUUAGAUAUCACGAAGAACUCCGAUUGCGAAGGCAGCUCACUGGAGCGCAACUGACGCUGAAGCUCGAAAGUGCGGGUAUCGAACAGGAUUAGAUACCCUGGUAGUCCGCACGGUAAACGAUGGAUGCCCGCUGUUGGUCUGAAUAGGUCAGCGGCCAAGCGAAAGCAUUAAGCAUCCCACCUGGGGAGUACGCCGGCAACGGUGAAACUCAAAGGAAUUGACGGGGGC
rnacentral:rRNA from 1 species